rnacentral:rRNA from 1 species
AGUCGAGGGGCAGCGAGUAGAUUGCUUGCAAUCUACGUCGGCGACCGGCGCACGGGUGCGUAACGCGUAUGCAACCUACCCAUUACAGGGGGAUAACACUGAGAAAUCGGUACUAAUACCCCAUAACAUCCAGGGAGGCAUCUUCUUGGGUUGAAAACUCCGGUGGUAAUGGAUGGGCAUGCGUUGUAUUAGUUAGUUGGUGGGGUAACGGCUCACCAAGACGACGAUACAUAGGGGGACUGAGAGGUUAACCCCCCACAUUGGUACUGAGACACGGACCAAACUCCUACGGGAGGCAGCAGUGAGGAAUAUUGGUCAAUGGACGCAAGUCUGAACCAGCCAUGCCGCGUGCAGGAAGACGGCUCUAUGAGUUGUAAACUGCUUUUGUACGAGGGUAAACGCAGAUACGUGUAUCUGUCUGAAAGUAUCGUACGAAUAAGGAUCGGCUAACUCCGUGCCAGCAGCCGCGGUAAUACGGAGGAUUCAAGCGUUAUCCGGAUUUAUUGGGUUUAAAGGGUGCGUAGGCGGUCGGAUAAGUUAGAGGUGAAAUCCCGGGGCUCAACUUCGGAAUUGCCUCUGAUACUGUUCGGCUAGAGAGUAGUUGCGGUAGGCGGAAUGUAUGGUGUAGCGGUGAAAUGCUUAGAGAUCAUACAGAACACCGAUUGCGAAGGCAGCUUACCAAGCUACUUCUGACGUUGAGGCACGAAAGCGUGGGGAGCAAACAGGAUUAGAUACCCUGGUAGUCCACGCAGUAAACGAUGAUAACUCGUUGUC